rnacentral:tRNA from 1 species
GGAGAAAUACUCAAGAGGCCGAAGAGGCGCCCCUGCUAAGGGCGUAGGUCGGGCAACCGGCGCGAGGGUUCAAAUCCCUCUUUCUCCG